AAGUACUUUGCUUUAUUAAAUUUGUUUUAAAGUGGAAAAACAAAUGAAGAAUAAAUUAGCAGCCUACAAAAGGGGUGUGACGGGAGUGACGUAUUUUUUUGAUUGAUCCACACAUUGAACGUCAGGUGUGUAGAGUCAAUCGAUUCGAGUAGAGAGCGGAAUGCGAACUGCACCACGGACUACGAUGUACUAUACCAAGACUUUCCAUAGAGCCAACAUCAAUCUGGAUUAAUUCUGUCAAAUAUGUCGUCUCUACGUGAAAGAUUCCCUAGUUGUCAGCCGUUUGCCUUGAAAAAUUGAUAUAUUUUAUUCUCUACGUUAAAGAAGGAGCAAUUAAAAGAACUCAUCGCUACUCUCAAAUUAGCCAAUAGGACCUCUGCGAGAAGCUGGCCCCUAUUUAUGUGUUGGACACGUACCAAGAGGGUUUGCUUCCCAGUAAGGUCCUCUACGGGAAGCUGGACCAUACUUAGAUGUUUGACACGUGAAGAGUGCUCGGAAAACCACGUGGGCAGCACGUGGGUGAGGCGCAAGUCCGCGACCGUUCAGUAGUUU
rnacentral:lncRNA from 1 species